AUGUUUUUGAAAGGAGGCAGCCAGCAAUGGUCUCCUGCGAGGUGCUGCAUGGUUGUCGUCAGCUCGUGCCGUGAGGUGUCGGCUUAAGUGCCAUAACGAGCGCAACCCCUACCUACAAUUGCCAUCGCGUGAUGGCGGGCACUCUGUGGGGACUGCCUGCGCAAGCAGUGAGGAAGGCGGGGAUGACGUCAAAUCAGCACGGCCCUUACGUCCGGGGCGACACACGUGUUACAAUGGCAGGUACAGCGGGAAGCCACCCGGCGACGGGGCGCGGAACCCGAAAACCUGUCUCAGUUCGGAUUGGAGUCUGCAACCCGACUCCAUGAAGCUGGAUUCGCUAGUAAUCGCGCAUCAGCCACGGCGCGGUGAAUACGUUCCCGGGCCUUGUACAUACCGCCCGUCAAGCCAUGGAAGCCGGGGGUGCCUGAAGUGCGUGACCGCAAGGAGCGCCCUAGGGUAAAACCGGUGACUGGGGCUAAGUCGUAACAAGGUAGCCGUACCGGAAGGUGCGGCUGGAU
rnacentral:rRNA from 1 species